rnacentral:lncRNA from 1 species
AAAUGAGCUUCACGCCUGCAAAACAGUGAAAUGGAGGUUAGAGGUGAAGCCGGGGUACCCCGGCGUUCACACUCCGACGCUCAAGUUAGCAAACUCAAGCUUUUAUGGCAAAGAGAGCUGGCUAGCCCUCUGUAAAUUAGGGUUUAAGGUUGAAGAAAACCUAUUUUUUGGAGUGUGAGUGUUAAUGGUGAGUGAGAGCCUCAUGGAGAAUGAAACCUAGGCAUCUUUAUAUAUGG